rnacentral:rRNA from 1 species
AUGGAGGGAAAACAACAAUGGGACAUAGUGGACCCUGGAUUCAAGCUUAGCGCUACAGUUCUGAAGAGAGCAGCAGGUAGACCAAGGAAGAGUCGAAUCAGACCUCGCAGCGAAGGAGCUGGACUUGGAGCGAGGAAGCGUAAGUGCACAAGGUGUGGUGGGUCUGGUCAUUUCAGUAAGUAUUGUGAUAACACAGUAGAUCCAGCGUUCGGAGAGUGUUUCGAUGAAGGCUUCGAUGAAAAUAUUGGUCAGCAGCCGGUUGCCGCAACAGAUGAUGAACAUGAUGGUCAACAGCAGGUUGCAUCAGAUGAGGAUUUUGACGAGGUUCCAAAUGAUGAUAGUCAA